ACACAGCCCCGCCCCGGCCGGACUCAGCCUCAUCUCACUCCGCCUUCCUGCGCGUUGUACGGUUGCCAAGGGGACGCACCACUCUCCAGGACCUUCUGGGCGCAUCUGGGGACUAAGAAAAGCCAGAGACAGCUCUGGAGGCUGGGGCAUCCAAGUGCAUGGCUGUGGCAUCUGGCCAGACAAGAAGAAGGUUUAACAUUAGACACCUGAGUGGCUGCUGUGAUAAGAUACCAUUAAACAUGAUGGCGUGGUGCUGAUAUGAGAAAGUUCUUGAAUCCCCAGAUGUGGAACCCAUGGAUAUGGAGGGCUAACUAUAUACAUCCCAUGCACUGAGAAAAUAGGAAAUGGCUUAAUUUUUAUUUGAGGUGGAAACCUUUGGCUUCAAGCCUGCCAUUCAACACUGAUGACAUCUCAGUCGUGAGCCGCACAGUGGGCUGAGUCCUGGUCACUGCACAUCUGCAGCCAGCUGUGCAAUCAAGUCUUUGGCAUCUUGCAUGGUGGAGGGUAUCUCUGAGCCAUUCUUAGUCAGACAGGAUCUUGCUUUGUCGCCCAGGCUGGAGUGCAGUGGCGCAAUCUUGACUCACCGCAACCUCCGCCUCCCACGUUCAAGCAAUUCUCCUGCCUCACCCUCCUGAGUAGCUGGGACUACAGGUGUGUGCCACCACGCCCCACUCAUUUUUAAAAAUCUUUUGUAAAGAGGAGCAUCUUGCUAUGUUGCUCAGGCUGGUGUCAAACUCCUGGCCUCAAGCAAUCCUUCCACCUAGGCCUCCCUAACUGCUGGGAUUACAGGCAUGAGCCACUGCACCCAGACUAAUUUUGUUUUUCCAUUUUCCUUUUAGUCUUCUAAGAUUAUUUCAACAGGAGCAAUUAUUUUUAUUUAUAUUUAAUAACAGAAAUUUGAUUCAUCUAUUGUUUUAGGUCUAUAUGAUACUUUACCAAUUAUAGUUCUUGCCACUGUGAGUUUUCUUUUGUGCUCAUUAUUUCUACUGAACAAAAAAAUCCUCAACCAAUUUUGGGGAGUAGAGGAAGACAGAGAAGAGAAUGGAGAGGGAACAGAUUCAGACAACGUGCAGUGGGAAAAGGAGGUUCAGAGGAGAGACAGGGAAAGAGAUGGGGGAGGCUUGGAAGAGGGAAACCCACAGGAAGAGGCAGAGGGGGAAGACAGGAAGCCUGUGCUUAGGCCGCAUGCCAGGGCCAAAACCUCCUUACGAUGGAAAUGGCAAGGUCAAAACAUACAUCUUUAACUCUCAUACACCAAGAAUUAUUUAAGCAAAUGACCUGUGACAUUCCCUUUCAUAAAUAACACAGAUUCAGCUAUAGUUUUCCAGUCCUUUGUAAAAGUUUUUUCACUUCUAAAAUUGCAUUUGUAAUUGGCUUUUUGUUAUUUCAUAGCAUUCCCCCUAAGUUUUAGAAGAUCAUCAUUUUUAAAUCUCUGGAAAUAACCUAAUAUUGUGUCUUUUUUUUUUCCUGUAUCAUAUGAACCUAUUUUUUUUUGAGACGGAAUCUCACCCUGUCACCCAGACUGGAGUGCAGUGGUGCAAUCUCGGCUCACUGCAACCUCCGCCUCCCAGGUUCAAGCGAUUCCCCUGCCUCAGCCUCCCAAGUAGCUGGGAUUACAGGUGUGCGCCACCACACCCAGCUAAUUUUUCUAUUUUUAGUAGAGACGGGUUUUCACCAUGUUGGCCAGGCUGGUCUCGAACUCCUGACCUCAGGUGUUCCGCCCGCCUUGGCCUUCCAAAGUGCUGGGAUUAUAGGCAUGGGCCACUGUGCAUGUCCCGAACCUAUCAAAUUCUAUCACUUGGAGCCUGUGGGGCUUUUCCUGAUGUGCUUAAGCCUGGGAGGUGGAGCUUGCAGUGAGCCGAGAUCACACCACUGUACUCCAGCUUGGGU
rnacentral:lncRNA from 10 species